AGCGUCAGCUCAUUUUGUAUAUGUAUAANGUUAUGAUGCGAGUUACUCUGUGUAGUAUUGCUUGUACGUAAUUAUGCAUUUAUUUGCAAGAUGUUGUCGGCGUGCACUUCUCCCCUAGUAGGACGUCGCGACCCGUUGGGUGUCGGUCUACGACCCGAGUGGGAGACUUUAAUGUUUUNAUAAUAUUAAAGACCCUUGGUGUUUUCUGACCGGCUGCCCGGCGGUACUCGUACGGUAUUUAGCCGCAGUUAAUUUNGCGUCC
rnacentral:rRNA from 1 species